rnacentral:rRNA from 1 species
CCUGACAAACCCAAAAGAUCGAAUGGGGAGAUUCAUCGUCAGCGGUACUGGUACGUGUGCGGUUCGCGAUGUCCGAGACUUCGGUCUCGCGGCACGCGUCCGCAUGUUUUUAUUGCCUGGUAUCGUCGGCGUGCACUUCUCCCCUAGUAGGACGUCGCGACCCGUUGGGUGUCGGUCUACGGCCCGGGUGGGUGCCUGUUCCGUGUGCGCUUUAUCGCGUCACUGCGGGGCAGACCCCCGGUUGCCUGACCGGCUGCUCGGCGGUACUCGCAAGGUAUCUGGCCGCAAACAUUCGAACUGCGUCCGGCCCGUCGCAAGCGAGGCAAGUGUCCCCGAAUGUACGGAUCUAAUGCCGUCAUCGGGCCUAGCCAGCUGUUGGUUGACGGUGUCCUAGGACAGGCUAUAACAAUUAUGAUACCGGUCAGCGACGCUACUGCUUUGGUACUUUC